rnacentral:rRNA from 1 species
UUGACCUCGGAUCAGGUAGGGAUACCCGCUGAACUUAAGCAUAUCAAUAAGCGGAGGAAAAGAAACCAACAGGGAUUGCCCCAGUAACGGCGAGUGAAGCGGCAAGAGCUCAAAUUUGAAAGCUGGCUCCUUCGGGGUCCGCAUUGUAAUUUGUAGAGGAUGCUUCGGGAGCGGUCCCCAUCUAAGUGCCCUGGAACGGGACGUCAUAGAGGGUGAGAAUCCCGUAUGGGAUGGGGUGUCCGCGCCCGUGUGAAGCUCCUUCGACGAGUCGAGUUGUUUGGGAAUGCAGCUCUAAAUGGGUGGUAAAUUUCAUCUAAAGCUAAAUAUUGGCCGGAGACCGAUAGCGCACAAGUAGAGUGAUCGAAAGAUGAAAAGCACUUUGAAAAGAGAGUUAAAAAGCACGUGAAAUUGUUGAAAGGGAAGCGCUUGCGACCAGACUCGCUCGCGGGGUUCAGCCGGCACUCGUGCCGGUGUACUUCCCCGCGGGCGGGCCAGCGUCGGUUUGGGCGGUCGGUCAAAGGCCCUCGGAAGGUAACGCCCCCAGGGGCGUCUUAUAGCCGAGGGUGCAAUGCGACCUGCCUAGACCGAGGAACGCGCUUCGGCUCGGACGCUGGCAUAAUG